AGAUUGAACGCUGGCGGCAUGCCUUACACAUGCAAGUCGAACGGUAGAGUAGCAAUACUCGAGAGUGGCGAACGGGUGAGUAAUAUAUCGGAACGUGCCCAGUCGUGGGGGAUAACGUAGAGAAAUUUACGCUAAUACCGCAUACGAUCUAAGGAUGAAAGCGGGGGCUUCGCAAGAACCUCGCGCGAUUGGAGCGGCUGAUAUCAGAUUAGCUUGUUGGUGAGGUAAAAGCUCACCAAGGCGACGAUCUGUAGCUGGUUUGAGAGAACGACCAGCCACACUGGGACUGAGACACGGCCCAGACUCGUACGGAGGCAGCAGUGGGAAUUUGGACAAUGGCGAAAGCCUGAUCCAGCAAUGACCGGCUGCUAAGGAAGAAGGCCGUCGGUUGUAAACUGUCGUUUCGUACGGAACGUAACGUCGUAGCUUUAAUAACCAGU
rnacentral:rRNA from 1 species